AUUGAACGCUGGCGGCAUGCCUUACACAUGCAAGUCGAACGGCAGCAUGGAGAGCUUGCUCUCUGAUGGCGAGUGGCGAACGGGUGAGUAAUGCAUCGGAACGUACCGUGUAAUGGGGGAUAACGUAGCGAAAGUUACGCUAAUACCGCAUACGACCUGAGGGUGAAAGCAGGGGAUCGCAAGACCUUGCGUUAUACGAGCGGCCGAUGUCAGAUUAGCUAGUUGGUGAGGUAAAGGCUCACCAAGGCGACGAUCUGUAGCGGGUCUGAGAGGAUGAGCCGCCACACUGGGACUGAGACACGGCCCAGACGCCUACGGGAGGCAGCAGUGGGGAAUUUUGGACAAUGGGGGCAACCCUGAUCCAGCCAUGCCGCGUGAGUGAAGAAGGCCUUCGGGUUGUAAAGCUCUUUCGGCCGGGAAGAAAUCGCACAGGCUAAUACUCUGUGUGGAUGACGGUACCGGCAUAAGAAGCACCGGCUAACUACGUGCCAGCCGCCGCAGUAA
rnacentral:rRNA from 1 species